rnacentral:rRNA from 1 species
GUCCACAGCCAUAUCAGCCCAAGAACGGUUAUACUCACUGAACCUAAGCAGUGCUGAACCUAGUGUGUACCUGGAUGGCAGACCACAUGGGAAAACCCGGUUGUUGUUGGAA